rnacentral:misc_RNA from 1 species
GUGAGAGGGGGCUUGCUCCCGAUGGCGCUGGGUCAGUCAAAAAAUCUGAACUGACACACCACUAUCGGGAACAAGCCCCCUCCCAC